UUUAGUGUUUUUAAUUUAUUUAGUUUAAAAUUUUGAUUUAGCUUCAAUCUUUUCUUUUUCUAUUUGUGUUUAUUUCGUUGUAAUAUUAAUAAAUUUUAUAAUAUUUUAUGUUAAUGCCACUAUGCAGUAUCAAUUAAGCAUUUUUUUUACAUUUAUUUCUAAUUAUAAAUUUAGCGAAGCAUUUAAUUUUGUUUAGAACUUUCGAGAAGGAUUUUGAUGAGGUGAAGAAACUAUGGCAAGCAAUUCAGGAAGAGGAUACCCUACAAAUGGUUCCAUCUAUGUUUGUAAUUUACCUGAGGGAACUGAUGAAAGUAUGUUAGCCGAGUAUUUUCGAACCAUUGGCUUCAGAACUUGAACUUCUCCAGAAGUGCAUAGAUUGAAAGGAAAGAUUCACCAGCCGUUUUAACUGCCAUGAUAUCCGCUUGGUCCUUUCUUCUUUCUACCACUGAUGGGUGGAGGCUAAGUCACAAAAAUUGGCAAUGGGCAAUUACAUACUUCUCCAACAUAUUAGACAAGAACGAUGAAGCACUAUGUGCAAGAAGAUGUGAGGCUCUUGCUUUAGUAUUUGAAUC